rnacentral:rRNA from 1 species
CAUGCAGUCGAGCGAGAACCAGGGCUUCGGCCCUGGGGACAGCGGCGAACGGGUGAGUAACACGUGGGUAAUCCACCCUCGGCACCGGAAUAGCCCGGGGAAACCCGGAUUAAUGCCGGAUGGCCCGCCGGCCCCGCGGGGCUGGCGGAAAAGGUAGCUUCGGCCUCCGGCUGAGGACGAGCCCGCGACGGAUUAGCUUGUUGGUGGGGUAACGGCCUACCAAGGCGACGAUCCGUAGCUGGUCUGAGAGGACGAUCAGCCACACUGGGACUGAGACACGGCCCAGACUCCUACGGGAGGCAGCAGUGGGGAAUCUUGCCCAAUGGGCGCAAGCCUGAGGCAGCGACGCCGCGUGAGGGAAGAAGGCCUUCGGGUUGUAAACCUCUUUCAGGAGGGACGAAGCCACUCGGGUUAAUAGCCCAGAGGGUGACGGUACCUCCAGAAGAAGCCCCGGCUAACUACGUGCCAGCAGCCGCGGUAAUACGUAGGGGGCAAGCGUUGUCCGGAUUUACUGGGCGUAAAGAGCGUGUAGGCGGCCAGGCAGGUCUGUUGUGAAAACUGGAGGCUUAACCUCCAGACGUCGACAGAAACCGCUUGGCUAGAGUCCGGAAGAGGAGAGUGGAAUUCCUGGUGUAGCGGUGAAAUGCGCAGAUAUCAGGAAGAACACCAAUGGCGAAGGCAGCUCUCUGGGACGGUACUGACGCUGAGACGCGAAAGCGUGGGGAGCGAACAG